CCUACGGGUGGCAGCAGUGAGGAAUAUUGGUCAAUGGGCGCGAGCCUGAACCAGCCAAGUCGCGUGAGGGAGGACGGCCCUACGGGUUGUAAACCUCUUUUGCCGGGGAGCAACGUGCGCCACGUGUGGCGUCACUGAGAGUACCCGGAGAAAAAGCAUCGGCUAACGCCGUGCAAGCAGCCGCGGUAAUACGGAGGAUGCGAGCGGUAUCCGGAUUUAUGGGGUUUAAAGGGUGCGUGGGCGGAGCGUGAAGUCAGUGUUCAAAUUGGGGGGGUCAACCCUUUACCGCAAUUGAAACUGGCGUUCUUGAGUGGAAGAGAAGUAUGCGGAACUCGUGGUGUAGCGGUGAAAUGCAUAGAUAUCACGAAGAACCCCGAUUGCGAAGGCAGCAUGCCGGAUUCCGACUGACGCUGAGGCACGAAAGCGUGGGGAUCGAACAGGAUUAGAUACCCGAGUAGUC
rnacentral:rRNA from 1 species